rnacentral:rRNA from 1 species
UGGGGAAUAUUGGGCAAUGGAGGGAACUCUGACCCAGCAACGCCGCGUGAAUGAAGAAGGUCUUCGGAUUGUAAAGUUCUGUCUUAGGGGACGAAGAAUGACGGUACCCUAAAAGAAAGCCACGGCAAACUACGUGCCAGCAGCCGCGGUAAUACGUAGGUGGCAAGCGUUGUCCGGAAUGACUGGGCGUAAAGGGAGUGUAGGUGGUUAGUUAAGUUAUAUGUGAAAGCCUUUGGCUCAACCAAAGAACUGCAUAUAAUACUGGCUGACUUGAGUGUGGGAGAGGAAAGUGGAAUUCCUAGUGUAGCGGUGGAAUGCGUAGAUAUUAGGAGGAACACCAGAGGCGAAGGCGGCUUUCUGGACCAUAACUGACACUGAGGCUCGAAAGCGUGGGGAGCAAACA